UUGGAGGGCAAGUCUGGUGCCAGCAGCCGCGGUAAUUCCAGCUCCAAUAGCGUAUAUUAAAGUUGUUGCAGUUAAAAAGCUCGUAGUUGAAUUUCGGGAUUGACGUGAUGGUCAUGCCUUAAGGGGUAUGAACUGUUACUGUUGAUUUCUCACCUUCUGGAGAAACUUGAUGUCCUUUAUUGGGUGUCUUGCGGAUCCAGGACCUUUACCUUGAAAAAAUUAGAGUGUUUAAAGCAGGCAUUUUUGCUCGAAUACAUUAGCAUGGAAUAAUAGAAUAGGACGGCAUGGUUCUAUUUUGUUGGUUUCUAGGAUCACCGUAAUGAUUAAUAGGGAUAGUUGGGGGCAUUAGUAUUCAAUUGUCAGAGGUGAAAUUCUUGGAUUGAUUGAAGACUAACUACUGCGAAAGCAUUUGCCAAGGAUGUUUUCAUUAAUCAGUGAACGAAAGUUAGGGGAUCGAAGACGAUCAGAUACCGUCGUAGUCUUAACCAUAAACUAUGCCGACUAGGAAUCAGACGAUGUUAAUUUUUUAAUGACUCGUUUGGCACCCUAUGGGAAACCAAAG
rnacentral:rRNA from 1 species